UACGUAGGGUCCGAGCGUUGUCCGGAGUUACUGGGCGUAAAGGGCGCGCAGGUGGCGGGGUUGGCCCGGCGUGAAAGCCCCCGGCUCAACCGGGGAGGGUCGUCGGGGACCGCACCGCUUGAGGGCGGUAGGGGCUGGUGGAAUGCCUGGUGUAGUGGUGAAAUGCGUAGAGAUCAGGCGGAACACCCGUAGCGAAGGCGGCCAGCUGGGCCGUCCCUGACACUGAGGCGCGAAGGCGUGGGGAGCGAACGGG
rnacentral:rRNA from 1 species